rnacentral:sRNA from 1 species
GACAAACCCUCAUCUGUUAUGUGCCAAUCCAGGAGAUACACGCAAUGUAUUUUGCUACUUCAAAUGAAACUAUCAGAGCAUGUGUUCAGGUCUUGCUACAUAUUCCUGACUUGCCUUGGGCUCCCUAUGUAUAUCAAGCUGACUUCAUUGUCAAAGAGACUCCAUUACCUCAGCCUCCAGAGUUCUGAGACUAAAGCAUGGAAUGUUCCUGUGCUUGCAUAACCAAGUUCUUCCUCUGGAUGGAACCAAAUUUCUCCAGACACUGUCUCCUCAAUCCACUUAAACAGAUGACCGGUUUCAUCUGCCGAUGUGAUUUCUUUAAAUAACUAAUGUCCUUUCCAGGGUUUCUCAACACUCCAAAAAUUCUGGAGUCCAAGGUAUUGACAGAAUGGCUUCUUUAUAAACUCAUAGCUUUCAUUCUU